rnacentral:rRNA from 1 species
AACGAACGCUGGCGGCAUGCCUAACACAUGCAAGUCGAACGAUGCCUUCGGGCAUAGUGGCGCACGGGUGCGUAACGCGUGGGAAUCUGCCCUUGGCUUCGGAAUAACAGUUAGAAAUGACUGCUAAUACCGGAUGAUGUCCCCCUGAGAGAUCUUGGGGACCAAAGAUUUAUCGGCCAGGGAUGAGCCCGCGUAGGAUUAGGUAGUUGGUGGGGUAAAGGCCUACCAAGCCGACGAUCCUUAGCUGGUCUGAGAGGAUGAACAGCCACACUGGGACUGAGACACGGCCCAGACUCCUACGGGAGGCAGCAGUGGGGAAUAUUGGACAAUGGGGGGAACCCUGAUCCAGCAAUGCCGCGUGAGUGAUGAAGGCCUUAGGGUUGUAAAGCUCUUUUACCAGGGAUGAUAAUGACAGUACCUGGAGAAUAAGCUCCGGCUAACUCCGUG